ACGGGGUGCAGCAGGCGCGAAAACUUCACAAUGUGGGAAACCACGAUGAGGGGAGUCCAAGUGCAUGCGCAUUGCGUAUGCUGUUCAGUUGCCUAAAAAGCAGCUGAAGGAAGGGCUGGGUAAGACAGGUGCCAGCCGCCGCGGUAAUACCUGCAGCCCGAGUGGUGGUCGAUAUUAUUGAGCCUAAAGCGUCCGUAGCCGGUCUGGUAAACCCUUGGGUAAAUCGGGCAGCUUAACUGUUCGAAUUCCGAGGGAACUGCCAGACUUGGGACCGGGAGAGGUCAGAGGUACUCCAGGGGUAGGGGCUAAAUCCGAUAUGGUUUUGUGCCAUUCGGUUAGCAUUCCUGUAAUCCUUGGGGGACCACCAGUGGCGAAGGCGUCUGACUAGAACGGAUCCGACGGUAAGGGACGAAACCCUGGGUCGCAAACCGGAUUAGAUACCCGGGUAGUCCAGGGCGUAAACGCUGCAGGCUUGGUGUUGGGGGUCCUACGAGGGCGCCCAGUGCCGGAGUGAAGAUGUUAAGCCUGCCGCUUGG
rnacentral:rRNA from 1 species